CAAGGUGUAGCUUAACACAAAGCACCCAGCUUACACCUGGGAGAUCUCAAUUAACUUGACCACCCUGA
rnacentral:tRNA from 1 species